ACUUUCGACGUACUCCAGGAGGAUUCAACCGGCUGUUACUGGAGCCCGCGCCGUGCUGCUCCCAUUUGACGACCACGCGACAAGGUACGAGCCUCUCUCAGUUCUGCAAAACCCGGAACUCUUGGUCUAACCCUCGUCGGUCAAACCCUUCCUCUCUUUCUAAUUUUGGGACAUGUUUUCCGAAGGAUUUUUAUUCUGCAUGCAAAAUGGUGUAAAAUACCAACUCCGCGCGAAACAUGAGCGUAGCUGAAGUAAGCCAAAGCCAGAUGUCCCAAUGCAUGCCAGGUGUUUGUUGGAANNNNNNNNNNNNNNNNNNNNNNNNNNNNNNNNNNNNNNNNNNGAAUGCCGAUUUAUGGAUACACUCGAAAACAUGCCUGUUCUUGGUGCGAGACAAUGCCCCACACCUAUGACAAUCCCUAAAUCCCCAAACCAUCCGAGGAGACAACAUGUGACAAGCUGUAUGGGGCUGAAGUUCAUGAUAAAAAAGAAUGUAGACUUGCACGAAGCAAACACUUGAAUAAAUGGUUCAUUUCAACCAGGUUUGAAUAGGUAUAUAUGCUGGUGCUUAAGCAAGAUAUACACACGAAAAUUAGCACAAACAAUGACCGGACUGGCACCAGUGUUGGCAGACUGGAUGCCUAGGAUAAGUUGAGCUUUAUGUAUGAACCAUAAACAUAAUUAGCUGUUGUAUGUGGAGCUACUUCACAAACUUUUACCAUUUUAGUAAUUUAUCUAUCUGGAGGCUGCUUUAUGUAAUACCAGCUGAGCUGAGCUAGAAACGACUUGAACUUGAAACAGGCGCCACUCUUGUGCCAAAACUUCUUCUAAACACCCAAGGGACAGCUGAAGCAUUGCGCCUGUGGUCACUUGGUUGUAAACCUACGUUUUGCGUCUCUUCUCCGGCUUCAUUACCUCUUUCAUUUCCUUCUGCCUGAUCUCCCUUUUGGUCAGGUUGUGUCUUGGUUGCUGACUUUUUCUUUUCAUAAAAGUAAAUCACCACGGCUAUCAGAAGAGCAGAAGUCGAGACAACUCCACUAAGUAUGAAAAGUCCUGUAAAACCAUCAGGUGUGAGUUUUUCGGGAUCAGGUGCACGCCCCGCAUUGUUGCAGUUGUUUUGGUAUCCGAUUCCGAUCCAUUUCUUCUCAAUUUGAUUAAUAGUGUCUCCUCCUAUUACGCUAAGGAUUGCCUUUGAGAUGUCCCCAACUUGAGGAGAUCCUUUUGGGAAUGCCUGUUGAAGAAAUUUAGUUUUUUGUUAGCUUAUAUCAUAGCUCUAUCACACUUCAUAUCCUGCUACGAUGAUGCCUAAAGCAAGAUGAAAUUGAACCCAUGUGGUAGCAAAGAAGUCCAGAUUGUCAUUAGCCUAAGUGUUAUACUCCCUCCAUCCCAAAAUAAGUGUCGCUGGUUUAGUACAAAAUUUGUACUAAUUUAAUGUUAAGUUUGCGACACUUAUUUUGAGAUGGAGGGAGUAGAAACUAAUUCUGGUGCACAUACAUGGACUUAUGUGGCAGCGCAUAUUUCUUGGUAAGAGCUAAGUUUUUUUAAUGUAUAUGAACAUAUGUGGCAGCACAGAUUAACUUGGGGAAGAAGUAAGAAACUAUUGAGCACCCAUUCAUGGGCAUAAAAUAUAAAUGAUCAUGCAUAAUUAUAUUAUAUAUUUAUGUGAUAAACAAAGAUAAUUUUUCACUUGUAUGGCUGAGUUGCACACGAUUUUGAAUUGAGUACUUGUGCAUCUUCAAGAAAAAAUAAUAGAUGCACAGCAUACUAGAUACAGGUGCUACUAAAAGCUAAAUAUUAACAUUUUGUAAUCACAAAUACAUGUGGUCAUAUGUUUGCACAUUUUUUUGCUCGUGUUAACAAAACAUGUUACAACCUCGAUUUGAAUAUUUUGAAGACGAAACUUUCUGUCAGAUGUUGGAAAGUCCUCUUUCAGCAGAAGGUUGCUAUACACUCGUGUAGGUUCAAGUAAGUUCCCCUCUCUCUUGUAAAUAUUUUCUUACAUAUUUACCCCCUCCGUUCCAUAUUAAGUGCCAGUGUGCCACUGAUUUAGUACAAAGUUGUACUAAAUCAGCAGCACUUAAUAUGGAACAGAUGGAGUAUACUAUUGGGACCUUCCACUCAAUUUUGUCAAAAAUAUUUUUUAUGCACAAAGUGCAUCCAGAAUUAUGUAGUACCCAUAGAAGCACAUUUUUUUCCCAUUGACUAGUGGUGAUACCUGUUAAGCUUCAUGCACUAGCCAAUGCAAUCAAAAGUCCGAACUGGUGGAAAGGGCUAGGCAAUCCACAUAUACACUUCAACACCCCCUCUCACGUAUGACGCAGAAAGUCAAUACGUGGACAGACUCAGAGGUAUGGCUCAAGAGGCCUAUACAUGGACACAUAGGGGGGACAAUAAUUUUUGAAUAAACUACGAAAGCCAGAAUUUGAACUCAAGACCUUAGUCUCUGAUACUAUGUUAAGCUUUAUGCACUAGCCAACGCAACCAAAAGUCCGAACUGAUGAAAAGGGCUAGGCAAUCCACAUAUACACUUUAACAAUACCAUCCUCUUACUCAGGGAAUAGCAGUAUAGCACCUGCGGUGGCAUAAAUCAUUAUAAAUUUCAAUGAUAAAAUCGAUCAUUUGUCACUUCAUACAAUGGUCUUUUAGGCUAUGCCACAGUAUAGAAUGUAAUCCAUUAUUUGCCACUCCACAGGUUGAUUACUUCAUGAUUUGACACUAUUGACUUUAGCUGUUCAUAUUUAUUUCUCUAUUGUUUUUCUUGAGAACUGCAUAUCUUUUCAUUAAGAAGAGAUUAACAGUCAACACAUGACUGGCUCGAUAUGGCCUGUAUUUAUGGAUUAAAUGAAAGGAAGAAAUGUAUGACCUGAGGAAAAUGAACCGAGCUGCUAAAACGACAGAGUUAAAAGAAUAAUCAACAACUCGAACUACCCAACUGCCUAGCACACAAUCCAUGCAGGAUACUCUGACAAUAAACCAUUUUUUGGAUUCUUCCUUGAUCGUUGACACUAAGCACAAACAGAAAAUUGUAGUUAAUUGAAAACCCUGUUAUUCCUCUCCUUCCGCCCCAUCCGAGCAACCAGGAUGAAAAGGAACCAAAGCCCUUUCUUAAAAUACGAUUGAGUACGGUGCACAUGCGUCCUGGAAGUGAUCCAUCAAUCACCAUACUAUAACUCUCCUUAUGAGAUGCAAAAAAAGGGGCUUCUUCUCUCGUUCACUCCACACUGCACAUUCUCAAGGAAUCUGGUGGUUCUCGCUGUCUCACCUAUAUGACCACUCUAUGAACUGAAAUGAUGGCUUUUCUCGACUUUAUUUGGAUAAGAUUGUUUGUAUAUGUAAGCUGAAUUUUGAUCUUCCUUGUCAGUGUGUUUGUUCUUAAAUUCAUUUUCCAACCGUCUCCCAAAAUUUAUCUCUUCGAAGUAUUCUUUUAGUUUGAUUUCUGAUUAUAUUAACUUGUAAUUUGACUAUUUCCCUACUAGCAUGUCCCUUCGACUACAUGUAGCCUUUAGUUCAUAUGUAUGUAGAGUUGAUCAUUUUAAUUGCAAUAGUAUUCACUUAGCUCUCUUCUGCCCUUCAUUGCCACACCUGGUCAUAUUUAUGGAUGGUUUUCUACAAGUUCAUGUAUUAUGGAAUGCACCAUAAUACUAUAUUCAUGAUUGUUUUCAUAUUUUUUUAAAACCUUUGAUAUACAUCAACCUGAUAUGGUAGUAGCAACUGUACCCAAGCUCAUAUGCGACUUUCUGAAAGAAAGAAAAACAAAAUAUAUGAUACUACUAGUAGUAGGCUAGUAGCACAACUUUGUUGAUGUGGUGUAAAGGAGCUAUGUGAUUGACAGCCAUUUUAUUAGUAAACAUCAAAUGUUCACGAAAGUGCAUAUGCUAAUUAUGUGACCAUUGGUUCAAUAUCAUCUGCCCUCCACCCAUUCACUUAGGAAUUAGGUGUGCAAAGCUAGCAAUAGUCCCAUCUUAAAUAAAAUUAGCAGCAAUGAGAUGCGUACAAGAAUUUCUAUGAUAUAUUUUGUCUCAAACAAAUUUAAUGACUGUCGGCUUCAGAGAUAUAUUGUAAAGAGGUAGAUGAAAGUUUACUUACAUAUCCAAAACCUGCUGCUUUAUAAAAUGGAACCAUAGUGUACCCUUUGCAGUUCCUUGCAAGAAAUAAUCUGAUGUAUGGGACUUCAUGAAUGAACGCAGCAAUUCCACCAUUUUUGCUUCCCUUCGAGAGUGCACUGUAAAAUCCAUCAUAGGUAUUAUAGGUCUUGAUCUUCGAUCUGUCAAAAUUGAGUUGUUCCAAUAUUCUCUCGACGUAGGAACCAUGAAUGCAUCCUACAUAGUCCCCACUUUUACGGAGUUCAUGGAUAUCAGUUAUAGUUGGAUUUAGCUGUCGUAUGGUAAGCAUUGUUGCCAAGUUUGCAGUGUAGCUUGCUGACAAUACAAGGAAGAAAAAUACCCAUACAAUCAAAACUAUCCGAGAUAGUAGCCGUUCCACUCUGUCCUCUGAAAUUUUUUAUAUGGAGUUCAAUUAGUUUUUCAGUCAUAUGAAAGGAAAAUGCAGGAACCCACAUAACUGCAUAAUGUAGAUGAAAGUCAUGAAACUUAAUAUGUAAAUUUCUACGUAUUGUGCUAUUAAGUUUUUUCAGAUAGUGGGAAUUAUUUAGUAGUCUAGUUAUCGCGCAGAACAAGGUUCAAAUCCUGGACAACCAUUGCUGCAAAUUUUACCCCACCCCCACCCCAAAAUUAUGGAUGAGAAUCAAACUUGGAUCAUCAAGCAGAGGCAAGUUACCAUACUGCUUGGCUAUGGUAGGUUUAAUUAUCAGUAAUAUGGAUUGGAGGGACAAUUAAUAUGGAUCGGAGGGAGUAUGUUUCUACGACAGAAGCUAUUGCGUUAAAUAAGGUACUGAAAUGACUUACAAAGUAACUUAGCCACUUGAGCUUUGUUUUAUACACCCCAGGCCUAUCCAACUCCAGCAGAAUCUAAUUUUCUAAGCUAUCUCUACACAUUCACAUUCUUGCAUCCUUCAGGCAACUAGAAGCAUGUCUAUUCACUACAACUUUAUAGCUUUGUUAGUUCCACCAACAUUAAAACAUUGUUUCUUCAUGCAACUUCAUACUUCGUGUAAGAUGCUAUUCAGAAGUUCAUUUUCUUUAAGGAAUGAAAGUAUUUUGAUAAAUAUACUCACUGUCUCCAAACAGGGAAAAGAAGGUCAUAAUCCCGAGCUUUCUGGGAACUUCUCCAGGGAUAUUUGUGUUAUUUCCGAGAAACUCCAAUAGCCAGAGAACAACCCAUGUGUAGAAAAAUAAUAUGAUACUUCCGAGCCACAGGUCACGUGAUAAUGGUUCAACGAAAAUCCAUGUGUUGUUAGUUCUGCUGCUCUUGGCUGGAACAACCAUUGCCACUCCUGAUUCUGUGUAUGGUAGAGUGAAGUCGACGUAGGACAUUCUGUUCUCUGAGAUUGUUAUGUCUCCAAUUGCUAUAUCAUAUUUCUGCAAGUGCAUCAAACAGAGUUACCUUACUGACCAGCAAAAUGAUGAUGCUUAAUAUUUGUUAUGAAAGUUGUAACUAUGCCAUGAGGAUAUGAAUAGGUAAACUAAGAAGAGCCUGACUAUGCCAUGUGCUCUUAUCAUAAAGACAGCAUGUAUAUUCCUCUGAUAUACUUCCUCCGUCCCAAAAUAAGUGUCUCGAGCUUAGUACAACUUUGUACUAGAGCUAGUAUAAAGUUGAGACACUUAUUUUGGGACGGAGGGAGUAGUACUUUACCUUAUGAGUUGCAGGCAAUAGAUGGCAUGCUAAUACAAUUUUUUGCUACAAUAGCAUAGUACAUUAGUACUUACAAGAAUAAUUACCAGACCAAUAGGGAGGCAUUAUAUGGUGGUUACACACUACUCCCUCCAUUCCUAAAUAUAAGUCUUUCUAGAGAUUCCACUACGGACUAAAUACGGAGCAAAAUGAAUAAAUCCACACUCUAAAAUAUGUCUAUAUACAUCCGUAUGUAGUUUGAAGUGAAAUCUCUAAAAAGACUUAUAUUUAGGAACGGAGGGAGUACAAUGGAGAAAUAUGGCCCCAAUUAGAAUUCAAGUUAAAGUGGUCUUUAUCCUCGACUUAUCCUUUAUAUGGAAAUCUGGGGCCAGGGGAUCAUUCCCUUGACUCUUACUGAUGAUAAUUUUUUUACUCCACGAGAAAUUGAACAAAAAGCUGCCAAAUUGGCCUAUUUCUUGCAUGUGCCAAUUGAAAUAUUUUGAGGAUUUUUUAAACUGAAUUGAAUGGAGAAAUAAGAAUUACUUCCUCCGAUCCUUUGAUCUUACUGAUUUAGUACAAAGUUGUACUAAAUCAGGGACAAUUAAUAUGGAUCGGAGGGAGUAAGAAGAGUUUUCUCAGCACGGGGAGGAACUCUCUUUGAAAUUGGAUCUGUUAUUGUAAGGGGGUUUUCAAGUAUUUAUCUAAGGAAGGAACAAACGAGAAUAAGAGAAAGUUGCUUUUAAUUUAUUUUGUCCAAGUUAGAUGCAUUGCGUAUUAUUCUUCCAUUUUCAUCCGAAAGGACUUUCUUUUAUUCUAUUUCACUAUCUCAUUCCAUCUAGAUCUAAGAAAUAACCCAAUGCACUGAAAUUCCUGAUAACAUACCUCUAAAUUGCAAUAAACUUAAAUGUAGUACAUAAAUGUGGGAGUGGUGAAAUCAUGGCAUGCAUAUAAAAUUACUUUUUUUCAAAUUCGAUGCUGGAAGUUGAAUCCCUGAUGCACUUACUACCUUAAGGUAAACUUGGUAAACAAAAUCAUCAUAACCUCCAGUGCUUGUGUCAUUGGUGGUGCCAAAUGCGACAUAUUCAUAAGGUACUGCAUAGGGAAGUCUUUUAACUGCCUCUUCGAAUACAUCAAUUGAAAGGCCCUCUGCUUUAGUUGCCCCUGUGAUAGGAUCCUUUCCACUUGUCAUAAAUUGUGGGUAUACACUUACGUGCACUCCCACUCGAAGCUUCUUCCCAUUUACAGCAGCUUCCCACCCUUUGGGUACCUCUGUUGAUUUUCCUGGCCAAAUCACGGGAUUUAGUUCAGGAACUAAGCCUGAAUGCUCUGUCAUUGACUCUCCUUGAUAUAGUCGCCGGGAAAUACCAUUUUCUGCAGUCCAAAACCCAAUUUCUUUCCACCCUUUACCAACUACAUUUAUUAUCUGAAAUGUAGAUGCUUGGAGCUGCCUGCCUGAAAGGUCAAAAUGACCACUCAAACCUCUAAAUUUGUAUUGCAAGAUGGUCUUUAGGAGAUCCGGACCAUAAACAGAUGUUCCCAGGCUUGUCAUGUUUCUUGCAACUGCUGGUUUUUGAAAGGAUGUCUUGUUCUUAAUACCAAGGUUUUCAACUGCUUGUGCUACCGCCCAUACAGUAUCAUAGCUCCAGAGUUCAAAUAUGCUUAGUUUCACUGAUGGAUCAUUUGGGUUAUCAAUUUGUAAUCUCCUGUUCCAUCGUAUGGUGAAGCUAUCCAGUUCUGCUGAUUUAGGUGUAUAAAACUUCACACCUAAAACACCAUUCAUUGCUUCCAUGACAGAAGGGUUCGUGGAGUCUAUGACAUUAGUUAGUCCAUCUGUCGUAAUCCAUACGAAUCCUUUCUUCAUCAUACCAACCUCUUUUGCCUUUGUGAAGAGGACCGAAGCCAAAUCAGGUGACAUAUGCACCACGAAGACCCUUGUUUGCAUUGUCAUUAACUUAUAGAGUUCUUGGGUAAUUUGUUCAUUAGAUGCUGACAGAGGGAUCACACUCCGAUAGGGAACACGGGCAUCAAUUUCUUGGAGGGCGUCAAUGAAAUAUGGUAUGACACCUCUACCAUAGUCAGUUUCUUCAUAAAUUGGCACCACCUGUCUCCACCCGUAGGCCUUGAUUAGGGAGGCAAUGCUAUUCACUUGUGUAGAGUCACUCAAUGUUGCACGAACAAAAUAUGGAAGGCUGCCAGAGUAAAGAGACGGGCUUGUUGCUGUGAAGGAGAUGAUAGGGACCUGACUUUUAUUCCCAAGAUCCGAUACAAAUGCUGCUUGUGAAGAUGUUUGAGGGCCUAUGAUAACUUGGACAUUAUAAUUCUCUAGCAGGUCGAGAGCUGUAAAGGUUCAUAAUAAAAUUUUAGUUGAACGUAAAUUUGUGCUGCUAGAAGCUGCAUAAAUUCAAAAUUGAAGAGUAAAAAAAAUGACAUAUAGUAUUUACAAAAUAUAUGUUGGUUCAGAGCACUCUGUAGCGUAUGCUUUUGAUGUCCUAGUUAACUUAAACUUGUGCAAAACACUGCAAAACAGGAUUGAAAAUUAUCACAGAUUUGCAGAUGAAGCUACAAAUUUGAACCCACAAUAUAUGGAUGAAUGUAACUAAACGUGUUGUCAGUAUAAAGGAUAAUUACACUUCACUCUCUUUACUUGAGUUGCUUGUUUUGAAAUAUGACAUUUAUAACCUGUAUUACUAGUUAUGCUGAUAAAUAGUGUUUAUUUUACCUUUGAUUCCAUCACAUAACUUUUAGAAGCCUUUUAUGGAGUAUAUUCAAUGUUCUUUUACUACAAUAACAAUUCUAUGGAAUGCUUGAAUCUCCUUUUUCCAUUUCAGGUCAGAUCAUUAUAGGGAUAUUUCCUAGAUCUAUCUGGAGGAUUUUUUUUAAGGUAUUUUAGUGAUUUUUCAAUUGGAAAUAAACUUCAUAUUUCCAUUGACAAAAGAGGGUCCUCGAGUAGAAAGAUUAUUUGCUAAUGAUACCAUUCGAUUUCUAAGUCCACAUCCUACAAUCUUUUUACUAUUUCCUACUGAUCUGCUAUGUUCUGAUUUUCUUGUAUGAAUAGAAACAGUUGAUUGGUGAAUCUCUCUGUUAGUACGGAGAGAAUAGUCCAGAUAUGAAGGGACUUCAAUACUGUGGCUCAGGUCAAGCAACCGCAUCCACAGAACCUUAUCAUAAAAAGCACACUAAAGCACUUGCCCAGCAAAGGUUAGCUAUGCAUUGUCGAAAAUUUAUGUAAUGAAUAUGUUAUACGAUUAAAUUUCACAAACUACAGAUGACCAUACAUCUGAAACCAUGAGUAAAUCUAUAAUCUCUGGGCAUUCAAAUUUGAACCCAGUCACCUAUGUCAAGGGAAAGCUAAGCUAAACAU
rnacentral:lncRNA from 1 species